GAUGUGGAUCUGAAUUCACCUGGUGUUUCUCUGCUAUGGAUCAGUGUGAGGACAGAGAGGAGGGAGUCCCUCCCUCUAAAAGCUCUCUGUGUGGGGAACAUGACAGCCAGACCAAAGCUCAGAGUAUCAGGAUGCAGCAGCAGAGAGCAGACUCUCCUGAACCCAACUGUGUGUCCAUGAAGAGUGACUGGUCUAUGGGUCACCUUAUUGACAUUAAA